UUGAGCUCUCCAAGGAGCAUUCUGCCUUGCUGAAAGUGACACGGAUAGCGAUGGGGUGACGAAGUAUGGCCUGGCCAUUAAUUGAGAGUCUUCCAUAGGGCUGAUCUUUACUCCUUGAGUCAGAAGUGGGAUGUGGCUGCGGUAUAGGUAGUGGAUUUCUGAUUCAGUGGUUAAGUCAAAUUGAAAAGAUUAACUUUUAUUGGUGGGGUAAUGAAUGAAGCUUGAUCACUGUAGUUAAACUGUUCCUUCAAAGCUUCAGCGGACGAGUUCAUGCUUUUCACGCCGAUUUUGAUGGCACUUGAGGAAGAUGGAAAGAAGUUGAUCAGUUAUGGAAUUAAAUCAAUCGGAACUUCUUCUUCAUCACAAGCGCUUCAAUUUCCGUGUCUGUUCUUGGCUUGUUGUAAUGUUUGUUCAAGUGAUCCUCCAUUUCCAUAUGCCCAAAAUCGCUUUCAAGCCUCUCCUCUGUUUGAUGAAAGGCUGAGAGGUGCCUUGAGGGGGCCUGUAUUCCGCUCUUAUAGAUGGACCAAAUUUGAUCUUGGUUGGAGUUAACUGGGGUUAUCCACAAAAGAUUUGAGAGUGGCUGAGCCUUCCACAAGCAUAACAGAAGUCUGCUAAUUUCUCAUAUUUGAAUGUUAUCCAAACAACUUUGUUCCCGAAUCUAGGCAAUGGAAAACCUUUUUUUAGUGGUUUUGUGA